AAAGGGCCGGCGGUCACGUGGUCGGCGAGGGCGUGCUAUGGAGUUGCCCUCGGCGUUUAAGGGCGUUCUCCCUUCUCCCUCUCUCCGCCUCCUCUGGGUGACGGCACGUGCUUGCUCCUUUUUCGGUAGGCAAUCCUUUAUGGAGUAGCCUGUGCCGUGACUGAAAAGCCCUUCCGGAUGGAAUGCUGCUAAAGUCAGGCUGUUGUCCUACGCGCGCAUGUCCCUGGGAGUAAGAACCCAUUUGGGUCUACUUCUGAGUAAACAGGCAUAGGGUUUCAGGUCACUUUCAGGUUGUGUAGAGCAGAGGACAGGCAAGCUUUUUGGGAUGUGCGUGUUUGUGUGGUAUGAUCCAGUGUUUUGCUGUUACCUAUAAAGCUUCCACGGUCAGUCCGGGAAGUAACUUGGUUAAGAGCAAUGUUUCUUCCCCUGCAGAUUAUUCUAGAUUCCCCAAGCUUCCCCUGAAAAUCAAUUUCCUCAGGACAUUCGCAUGUUAUAAUGGUUUACCGCAAAAAGAUCCUCGUGCAUGAGUAGAUGGUAUUUCUGCUUAGCUGGGAGUUAGCAUUAUUUAUAUUAUAUUUAAUUGAUUUUUUACAAAACAUCUCGUUUUAAUAAUAUUUUGUAUUAAUUUUCACAAUGAACAUUACAUUAAAAAAAAUAAAAAGACAUAAAACAAUUAAAACAACUAUGUACACUCUUAAUAUUAAAUCCAUAUUUUGGGAUUCCUUUGAAUCCCCUGACUUCCCUCCCCUCCCUCCCCUGGUUCCUUUGUAUUAUUUUCAUUUAUGCAUGUCAACAAAGAAUCUUUUAUCUCUAAUUACCUCCUAAUUUAAACAUUGUCCAUAGCGUUACAAGUGUUUUAAAAAUCCUGCUAAUGUAUUUACUUCCUUACAUUGCUUUUGUAUAUAUGCAAUAAACAUUUCCCAUUUUUUAAA